GGAUUUAGUCGAUUUUAAUAUAUGAAAAUAGCAAUGUACGAUGGUAUCGUGAGUUUUUCAUUUUAAAUGAUUUUCGAAGUAGCUUUUCGUUCGCGGUUGGUUAGAAAUUUCUUGGCGAACGAGUGUGACUGGUCAUUUGUUAAAAGCGGCACAAAGCGUGCGCCAAAAACCGGGUCAUCCACUUCUCGCGAAAAAUCGAUACGAAAUGGUGGAACGCGAUUCCUGGUCUGACCACUGGUUGACUCGUUCCACUUGCCGCGCCGUGGAUAGUCAUUUUUCAAUGGCGAAUUUUGUGGUUCGCGUUACACUGGGUCGCUGCGUUAGUUACGUCGCGUUUAAACCGAGUUUGCCAAUAUCGUGUCAUUAGACGAUUCCAACGAUACGAAAUGACGUUGAACGAUCAGCAAGAACGAAUUUUCGUCGAAGGAAACAAGAUGUCUCGUUCGAGAUAAUCCGAUUCUUCGAUGAAAAAUAUUCCUAGAGAUCGUAUAGAUAUCACUAUCCCUAAUUGUUUCCUACGUUUAUAUUUUUUCACCGCCAUAUUCUUUACUCUCCAAUUUUUUUACCGCGUUGCUAUUUCUCUUCUCAUCCUUUGUUCGGACGAAUUAAAAUUCUUUUUAUCGUUCUAUUUAUUGGAUACCGUACAACGACGGAUGCGAACUCUUCGAACAUCGUUCCUCUGGAGCCAAUUCGUGGAUCUAAUCAGGUGCACAUGACAGUGAAAUAAUCGUCGUUAGAAAGCGAGACGUUGUAAGUCGGUCUCGAAUAAAAUUCCGUCGAAGCCAGCUGUAUCUAUUUGAUCGAGAAGUUCCAAUGCGAUACGAUUCGCGAGCAAGGCGACGUUCUCUACCUGUUGCACGUUGCUUUCAUAGGAAAUUGCCUUACCGACAUAUUGAACAUUGUCAUUCCUGUCUAUGGAUGGUAAUCCUGUGCAGAAACGUGCCACUGUGGGAUUACAACGCCUUCUUUUUGUCUUUUUUCAUCGUUAUCGGCCUCGUACGCGCGAUAAAGUCACUCAUUCUCAUCUGUAAACGCAUUUGUUCAGUGUGGUGCAAUUUAUCAACGUACUCUUCCUUUAGAGCUUAUUAUUGCGUCUGAUAUUUCCCCACGUCUGACGGAAGAUCGUUUACCGUUCCGUAAAUGGUACGCGGAGAAUAUUUACGAAGCUUUUGCUUUUCCUUUCUUUUAAUUUAAAAAAGAUCUUGCUACAGGGGGGAAAAACGUAAGGGAGUAGUUCUUGGAUAUUCGUAGAAUUAAUUUUCUCGUAGUUCGCUGUAGCAACGAUAGGAAAAGUAUUUCAAUUAAGGGAAAGAAGUCGUAGAAACGAUGCACCGCGAAAUUGGUUCGUCUUGCUUUAUUAUUUUGAUCGUUUCCAAUGAAAUCUCGUAUUACUCUAUUCGACGUUUUAAUCCGGAGAGAAAAAUUAUUCGAUCGUUCGAAUUAAAAUUCCGGAGAGCGAUAUUAAAGUCGGUAAUUUUCGAUUUCUUUAAACUCUGGAUUACCGAACAGCCGAGAAAGAUUCUCACGAGGAAAAGAAUAGAUGGCUCGUACCAUAGCUACACACGUUUCGUUCUGACAAACGUGGAUCGCGUCGAGGAAAUUAAUUCCGCUUCGUAGAAGGAUACUAAGUGUCUACCUGUUGCACCACGCUGCCAGACGAAACGGUCUCGAUCGUUUUUGGAGAAUCGCGGAAGUGAAGGAGAAAUACAGAGAAAGAAAGAGGAGGAGAGAACGACAGCACUUGGCGAAUGAAAAAUUUUACGCGUCUACGCGUACGAAGAAACCUGCUGGUACGUCGUUGCCUUCGCAACUUGUUGCUAGUCGUUCAGAGAUCUCUCCACUUCUCGAUUCUCGGUGCUGCUUCCUGCACACAGGUGCUGUAGUGGGACAAAAUUCUCGUCGUUUCCGUGACACCGAUCCUUCGACGAUCGAUCCACUAACGCCAGCAUGGUAUUUUCAAGAUACGUUCCUGUUUCUCUUCGACGAUAGAAGCCUCGCCUUUAGAAUGAUUCUAAUUGUAUAGCGAUUACGGUGUGUAUAUGACGGCGCGAAGCAGAAUAUUAACACUGGAGUAUUAAAUCGGUCCAUGCGUAAUAGCUGCGGCGACCAAAUCGAUAUUCCUCGAACAAUUUCUCAUCCCAAUGGUCGAUAGCCGCGUUACGCUCGAUCGGCGCAUAACGACAGCUGUGCUGCGUUUUCGUCUUGGGAACCUGUGGGGCCGCUAUUAACGACGAGAUUAUGGUGCGUAGUGCGUAGGGCUCGCAAGGUGCAACCAGGGCCUUGCCAUCUGCUCGUGCACGUGGCCCUGGCACGUGCCACCAGCUGAUAAUAGCGCCUUCGAUCCCGUCGCCGCCGCGCCGCGACGACACGAGCACUCCUGCUACGUGCCCAACAUUUCAAGCGGUGGCUGUUUAGGCGAUAACGAAAUUUUCGGCCCUCACGUAUGCUGCUCGAUUAUAUCGAAUAUAGCGCAAACCGCCUUGGUUAAACGAUUUAAUUUUAUCACGUCCUUUUCCCCCUUUUCGAAGAGACAUUGGGGACACUAUCGCGAGCAAUCGUUUCGGGGCAGUUCGAAGCAACGAAAGAAAUAUCAUCAGCCGCAAAUGCCUAUAUCUGUAUGGAAUGGCAUUGCGAAGCAAGAUAAAAAAAAAAUCGCCAUUUUCGCAAACGUAUCGCGCGAUUCGUCAAAUUUGAUUUUAUCAGGAAUGAAUUCGUCUUGCAUAUUUGUCUCCGGCAUGAGAUAGUCUUUUCAAAUAUUAACGUUUUAUGGCCAACUAUUCGCUCCGCGAGCGAUAAGCGUCAGGCUAGAGAUUCGAUACAUU